UACGGAGGGUGCAAGCGUUGUUCGGAAUUACUGGGCGUAAAGGGCGCGUAGGCGGUUUGAUAAGUCAGAUGUGAAAGCCCACGGCUUAACCGUGGAAGUGCAUUUGAAACUGUCAGACUUGAGUACCAGAGGGGAAAGUGGAAUUCCCGGUGUAGAGGUGAAAUUCGUAGAUAUCGGGAGGAAUACCGGUGGCGAAGGCGACUUUCUGGCUGGAUACUGACGCUGAGGCGCGAAAGCGUGGGGAGCAAAC
rnacentral:rRNA from 1 species